rnacentral:rRNA from 1 species
CCUACGGGAGGCAGCAGUAGGGAAUCUUCCGCAAUGGACGAAAGUCUGACGGAGCAACGCCGCGUGAACGAUGAAGGCCUUCGGGUCGUAAAGUUCUGUUGUUAGGGAAGAACAAGUGCUAGUUGAAUAAGCUGGCACCUUGACGGUACCUAACCAGAAAGCCACGGCUAACUACGUGCCAGCAGCCGCGGUAAUACGUAGGUGGCAAGCGUUGUCCGGAAUUAUUGGGCGUAAAACGCGCGCAGGCGGUUUCUUAAGUCUGAUGUGAAAGCCCCCGGCUCAACCGGGGAGGGUCAUUGGAAACUGGGAAACUUGAGUGCAGAAGAGGAAAGUGGAAUUCCAAGUGUAGCGGUGAAAUGCGUAGAGAUUUGGAGGAACACCAGUGGCGAAGGCGACUUUCUGGUCUGUAACUGACGCUGAGGCGCGAAAGCGUGGGGAGCAAACAGGAUUAGAUACCCUGGUAGUCCACGCUGUAAACGAUGAGUGCUAAGUGUUAGAGGGUUUCCGCCCUUUAGUGCUGAAGUUAACGCAUUAAGCACUCCGCCUGGGGAGUACGGUCGCAAGCUGAAACUCAAAGGAUUGACGGCNGAGAGNGCGAGACGACGACGAGGGAGAGG